AACCACGUUGCGCGCUACAGAGUGGCGACCCCGCGAGAGUAUUCUAGGCCGCUCGUGUGAUCAAACAGAGGCACUCCGUUCCCCGGAUCAUCAUCGAGAUUAGAGGUGGGCUCUCAACUUUAUUCCAAUGGCGGAUGGGGGUCCUUUGAACCUGUAUUGAGGUGCCGAUCGCCGCAUUCAUACCCGAAGAAGUGGAGACGCACAGCAGGAAGAUCUUGUUCAAGGCUGUAAGAGAUCGGAGCAACAUCCGCUGCUUUAUAAUAGCAGGUUGGGUGAUCAAGCAGUAGUGCAGCUCUGACGGCCAGUGGAAACCCAGGUGUGUAUCUUUAUGUGGGGUUUUGCAGUAUUUACAUGUAUGCAUUUGGCUGACACUUAAAUUGCAUUCAAGGGACAAAUUUGAUCAGUUCUUGCUUUCCCUGGGAAUCAAACCCAUGGCCUUGUCAUUUUUAGUUCCCUGCUCUACUGUUUGAGCUAAAGGAAGGAAUGUACCUGUGUAAUCACUUCGGUGAUUUUUUUUUUCUUUCUAUUAAUCAAUUUAGGAAGGGUGUGUGUGUGUGUGUGUGUGUGUGUGUGUGUGUGUGUGUGUGUGUGUGUGUGUGUGUGUGUGUGUGUGUGUGUGUGUGUGUG